GACGAACGCUGGCGGCGUGCCUAAUACAUGCAAGUAGAACGCUGAAGGAGGAGCUUGCUUCUCUGGAUGAGUUGCGAACGGGUGAGUAACGCGUAGGUAACCUGCCUGGUAGCGGGGGAUAACUAUUGGAAACUAUAGCUAAUACCGCAUAACAGUAGAUAUCGCAUGAUAUCUACUUGAAAGGUGCAAUUGCAUCACUACCAGAUGGACCUGCGUUGUAUUAGCUAGUUGGUGAGGUAACGGCUCACCAAGGCGACGAUACAUAGCCGACCUGAGAGGGUGAUCGGCCACACUGGGACUGAGACACGGCCCAGACUCCUACGGGAGGCAGCAGUAGGGAAUCUUCGGCAAUGGACGGAAGUCUGACCGAGCAACGCCGCGUGAGUGAAGAAGGUUUUCGGAUCGUAAAGCUCUGUUGUAAGAGAAGAACGAGUGUGAGAGUGGAAAGUUCACACUGUGACGGUAUCUUACCAGAAAGGGACGGCUAACUACGUG
rnacentral:rRNA from 1 species